AGCGCGCGCAGGCGGUCUCUCAAGUCUGAUGUGAAAUCCCACGGCUCAACCGGGGAGGUGCAUUCGAAACUGGGGAGCUUGAGUGCUGAAGAGAAAAGCGGAAUUCCACGUGUAGCGGUGAAAUGCGUAGAGAUGUGGAGGAACACCAGGUGGCGAAGGCGGCUUUUUGGUCUGUAACUGACGCUGAGGCGCGAAAGCGUGGGGAGCAAACAGGAUUAGAUACCCUGGUAGUCCACGCCGUAAACGAUGACUGCUAGGUGUUAGAGGCCUUCCGCCCUGUAUUGCUGCAGCUAACGCAUUAAUCACUCGGCCGGGGGAGUACGGUCGCAAGACUGAAACUCAAAGGAUUUGACGGGGGCCCGCACAAGCGGGGGAGCAGGUGGUUUAAUUCAAAGCAACGCGAAAAACCUUACCGGGUCUUGACAUCCU
rnacentral:rRNA from 2 species